rnacentral:rRNA from 1 species
UGCGUAGGCGGUUAUGUGUGUCAGAUGUGAAAGCCCAUGGCUCAACCAUGGAACUGCAUUUGAAACUGCAUAACUUGAGUAUCGGAGAGGUAGAUGGAAUUCUAGGUGUAGCGGUGAAAUGCGUAGAUAUCUAGAAAAACACCAGCGGCGAAAGCGAUCUACUGGACGAAUACUGACGCUGAGGCACGAAAGCCGAGGGAGCGAAGA